GACGAACGCUGGCGGCGUGCCUAAUACAUGCAAGUAGAACGCACAGUUUAUACCGUAGCUUGCUACACCAUAGACUGUGAGUUGCGAACGGGUGAGUAACGCGUAGGUAACCUGCCUGGUAGCGGGGGAUAACUAUUGGAAACGAUAGCUAAUACCGCAUAAUAUUAAUUAUUGCAUGAUAAUUAAUUGAAAGGUGCAAUUGCACCACUACCAGAUGGACCUGCGUUGUAUUAGCUAGUAGGUGAGGUAACGGCUCACCUAGGCGACGAUACAUAGCCGACCUGAGAGGGUGAUCGGCCACACUGGGACUGAGACACGGCCCAGACUCCUACGGGAGGCAGCAGUAGGGAAUCUUCGGCAAUGGACGAAAGUCUGACCGAGCAACGCCGCGUGAGUGAAGAAGGUUUUCGGAUCGUAAAGCUCUGUUGUAAGAGAAGAACGGGUGUGAGAGUGGAAAGUUCACACUGUGACGGUAUCUUACCAGAAAGGA
rnacentral:rRNA from 1 species